UGCACCUAAAAGCGUUUUCUUGCCAGCCUGUUAAAUGCUCUUGAAAAUCGUAGAUGUGUGCAAAAGCAAUCCUCGCAGUUGCAAGUGAUUUUAGUUUUUUAUAACUUCGAUCCGUUUACAUUGUGAACAUCC